rnacentral:rRNA from 1 species
CCUACGGGGGGCAGCAGUCGAGAAUCAUUCACAAUGGGGGAAACCCUGAUGGUGCGACGCCGCGUGGGGGAAUGAAGGUCUUCGGAUUGUAAACCCCUGUCAUGUGGGAGCAAAUUAAAAAGAUAGUACCACAAGAGGAAGAGACGGCUAACUCUGUGCCAGCAGCCGCGGUAAUACAGAGGUCUCAAGCGUUGUUCGGAAUCACUGGGCGUAAAGCGUGCGUAGGCUGUUUCGUAAGUCGUGUGUGAAAGGCGCGGGCUCAACCCGCGGACGGCACAUGAUACUGCGAGACUAGAGUGAUGGAGGGGGAACCGGAAUGCUCGGUGUAGCAGUGAAAUGCGUAGAUAUCGAGAGGAACACUCGUGGCGAAGGCGGGUUCCUGGACAUUAACUGACGCUGAGGCACGAAGGCCAGGGGAGCGAAAGGGAUUAGAUACCCUUGUAGUC